UACGAAGGGAGCUAGCGUUGUUCGGAAUCACUGGGCGUAAAGCGCACGUAGGCGGAUGUGUCAGUCAGGGGUGAAAUCCCGGAGCUCAACUUCGGAACUGCCUUUGAUACAGCACGUCUUGAGUUCGGGAGAGGGAUGCGGAAUUCCAGGUGUAGCGGUGAAAUGCGUAGAUAUCUGGAGGAACACCGGUGGCGAAGGCGGCAUCCUGGACCGAUACUGACACUGAGGAGCGAAAGCCAGGGGAGCAAACGGG
rnacentral:rRNA from 1 species